UCUUUAUAACCAAUUUUCAAAAGAAGCGAUACCUCCUAGCUCCUGAGUACACGGACUGAUGCCCUCAACCCGACCAAAGCAACUUAAGGAAGGAGCUGGAGCACUCUGGAGGAGAACCAGGGCUGGGGUUAUAGCUCAGUGGUAGAGCAUUUGCCAAGCAUACAUGAAUCUGUGGA